rnacentral:lncRNA from 1 species
CUUCUGUUGUCCCUCCUCGUGGCCGACGUCGGAGGCGUCCCCGCCGCGGUGCUUCCCCGCUGGAUCAGGUCCCUUGCCGCUUGCGUCGCCGUAUCAAUUUUAAUUAGGAACCUGUAAUAUUUUUUAUUUAUCAUUUUUCGUAAUUUUGAAUAAAUAUACUUUUUUACCUUUUCCUUUACUCGACUUACACCUUUACUCUGAAGUACGUCAGUGUAGUCGAUGCUUUCUUUUGGCCAAUACCAUACUUUUCUGAAGAUGUCAAA